UUCAAAAUUUAUGUUCUUCACUUUUUAUUUAUAUUUAUUUCAACAUUUACUUAUUCCAGUAUACUAGUAUAUUUAUUUAUUUGGCAAAAUGGGCCUUAAAGAUACAUUAUACUUUCUUUGCAUCCGCUCAUAUGAUGAGAAAGACAUUGGCGUUGUUGUCACUUUCUUUGUAGUCGAGAAAGAUGUGAGCAAAGCAGUUCCUGAAGAAAUCUAUGGGCUGGAGAGUCACCUCGGGCCUAAUAUCAGACAUGACGCCCAAGGUCUGCUCCGCGCCAAGGAUAAGAAAACGGUCACCUCUCUUUUGGUGCAGAGAUUGCUUGGCUCAAAUGGAAUGCCCGCCUGUGGCAUUUUAGUCACGCAUGAUUUAAGGAAAACAAGGCAACGACCACCGAUUGCUCGCUGCUGUGUGCUUGGCAUCAAGUUAGGUGGACUUUCAUAGAAUGCACCCCAACCCAUUGGAGCCACACUUAUCGUGGCAAUCAUCCAACGCCUGUCCCAGGACAUCAAAAAGGACAAGGAUCCCCCACUGAAAUUUUUGUUCGACACGGUGGCCAUACUGAACAAAACGGAUCUUGUGGAGCAAGAGAGGAAGCAAAUGGUGGAGCGGCUGAAGGAGUCUAGAACCGCCAUUUUUGACUUCCUGGAAAACCCACCCGAAGGAAUCAAGCUUGCUUUGUUGACACUCAACGUUGAAUGCCUCAACGGUUUCAUUGGCUGAAAUAAAGCGAGAAAGAUGUGAACAAAGCAGUUCCUGAACAAAUUUAUGGGCUGGAGAGUCACCUUGGGCCUAGUAUCACACAUGACGCCCAAGAUUUUUUGUUCAACACAGUGCACAUGUUGAACAAAAUGGCUCUCCUCGAGGAAGAGAAGAAGCGAAUAGCGGAGCAGCUGAAGGAGUCUAAAACCGUCAUCGCAGACUUUCAGGAAAAUGCACCCGAAGAAUCCGAUCAUUCAACGUUGACACAGAUCGUUGGAGGCCUCAACGUUUUCAUUGGCUGAAAUAAAGGUUUCCCCAUCGGAUUUUUCGAAGCUGGGGUGGACUUUCAUAGAAUGUACCCCAUUCCAUUGGAGCCACCACUUAUGGUGGCAAUCAUCCAUCGACUGUCACAGGACAUCAAAAAGGACUACGAUCCCCCACUGAAAUUUUUGUUCAACACAGUGGACAUGUUGAACAAAAUGGCUCUCCUCGAGGAAGAGAAGAAGCGAAUAGCGGAGCAGCUGAAGGAGUCUAAAACAGUCAUCUUAGACUUCCAGGAAAAUGCACCCGAAGAAUCCGAUCAUUCAACGUUGACACAGAUCAUUGGAGGCCUCAACGUUUUCAUUGGCUGAAAUAAAGGUUUCCCCAUCGGAUUUUUCGAAGCUGGGGUGGACUUUCAUAGAAUGUACCCCAUUCCAUUGGAGCCACCACUUAUGGUGGCAAUCAUCCAUCGACUGUCACAGGACAUCAAAAAGGACUACGAUCCCCCACUGAAAUUUUUGUUCAACACAGUGGACACGUUGAACAGAAUGGCUCUCGACGAGGAAGAGAAGAAGCGCAUAGCGGAGCAGCUGAAGGAGACUAGAAUCGUCAUGUCUGACAUCAAGGAAAAUGCACCCAAAGAAGCCGAUCAUCCAACGUUGGGAGAGAUCAUUGAAAAGCUGGGAGGACACUGUCACAUGUCAGAAAAUGUGCACUUUUAUGCCAAAAUAUUUUGGUUUUUCUUGAACGGCACCUGCCGCUGCUGACGAUGUAUUCGACAUAUUUCGCUGUUCCCUGUUGUUGAUUGCAAAAACUCAAGUUUUAAGAUUUUAUUUUAAAUUUGGCUCCAGGGAUCAAACACUACUCGGCCAAUUUUUGCUCUCAGUUCAGUUCAGAUGUGUCAGUUAUUUCCAUUUAGUUCAAUUUGCGCCGUUUACAUCGCAGUGUAAAACAAGUGUAAAAUGUUUUCUCAUAUUAAAGAGAAGGACCUCUUCCAGGUUUAUACACAAUGUCCUUGUACUUUUUCAAAAUUCGUUUUUCAUAGGCCUGUUUCUGUUUUUCUUGAGAUCUCAAGAUUGCCGUUUUUUGUUUUUUUUAAAGUCUCCAUUGAGGAUUUUUUUCUUCUCAAUGUAAGCAUCGUACAUGGGCUCGUCGGGUUGUAAUAUUUAGGAAAGCUGAAAUUGAAGUCAAAAUGUUUAUCUUCUAAACAAGCCAUUACAAUAGUUUGGAGGGCCUUUUAAAAAUCUACUUGCCGGCAUGUCAAUAGGAACUUUAGAGGGGAAAACUGCCUCCCUCCCAUACAUCAUUAAAAAAGGGGAGAGCUUUGUUGUUGUGCUAAUCUUGGAUUUUAAGGCAAAUAAUACUGGCAGGCAUGAAAAUAAGUCAUGGGUUAAAAAGGUGAGAAGGGUGUGGAGGAAGUAUAUUUCGGUAGGGCUGUGUCAGCAGACUAUUUUGACGAUUAGUUGACUAAUAAUUUUUUUUUUUCUUGACCAUACUGGAAAAAACUAUCAUCGCGAUUUUUGGGGAGUUUGCAAUAUUAAAACAAGAAAAUUUUCACCAAAUAACUUUAGCUCCAUUUGGAAUAGCUGCAGUGUUAACCAAGAAAAACAGUUUUGGUCGCUCUGUCUAGCAGGAGGGAGAGUGAGACGCUGUACGAGCAUGAAGCAGAUGUGUUCAAAUAAAAACCCGACCCUUUUCACCCGAUUCCGAUCCUCUGAAAAAUGGCGCCAUCAGCCCUAAUUUAUUUAACGCAGUUUAAUAAAGGAUCUGCACACUUGCUGCGUUUAUGAAGUAAAACAAAAGUUGAAAUGCGGGAAAAAAAAAAA